rnacentral:tRNA from 1 species
GAGGAUGGCUCGACAGCAGUAAAGAUUGCUAAUCCUUCACCCCCUCGGUUAAACUCCGGG